CCCCCUUUCCCUGACGCCAUUACAGUUCUGAAAGUUGAUAGUGUUGGUCGGACGUCGCCUUGAUUCCUGAAAAUUAACGAAUAUUCCGGAAAAGGAUCCACUGACAAGUGCACUUCAAUCAUUUACAAGACGACUAGUCACUUAUCAAACAACCCAACCUUCUUGUAAGUUUGUCGAUGCGGAGCGGAGAGAAGAGCCAGGCGUUCAUCAACAACGACGACGGUAUACGACCGAGGAACUUUCCCGUUGGAUCCAGCGCUUUACCAAAGCGAAAAUUGCGUCGCGGAAGCAGCACGACUUGCGACGAGAGGUUUUACUUCACAAUGCCUUUAUUUUCGCCCAGUCUGAGGUCAAAUGCCGACAAGUGGAACGUCAAAAGAGGUGGAAGGAAUUGAAGCCGUUGCUGUUCUUGGAGACGUCAUCCACUUUCGGCGAGCAGGAACCAAACAAAAUGGCGGCCUUCCCCAAAAUGGCGGACGGCGUGCAGCAGCAAAUGGAGACUGCUGAAGAAGAAAUGGACAUGGAGAGGCCAUCUACCCCACUUCCUAGCGUGACGGGAGCUACCAAACGUCAUCGUUGCGGUUGCUUGCCUCUAACCAGAUGUGAAUGCGGUAGUGAAGAUUCCAGCAGCAGCCAGGCCAACAAGAAAUUCCGCCCCUCGUCACUUGAUGAAGAUGAUGAUCUGAAGAGUUUGGACCGUUUCCUUUCGUCUCUACACUGUAAUACGCGUCAAGUUGGUUAGAUUUUGCGUCGUUUUGCUGAUUUUUCUAAAGUUCUAGAACAUUUUAAGAUAUCUUAAUUUCUUUCCUGAUUGUCUACAUUGCGGCGCUUGAUUUUCGUCCAUUAGUGCUUUGUGUUAUGCCUGGGCUUAUUUUUGUCUUACAGUUGACUGGGAGAACAUCAUCGUCUACCAAAUGUGCCCAACUGAUUGAGACGUUGGUGAUUUCCAGCACCUUUUCAACCUCUGAACUGAGAGAACAUGGAACACUUGAUGCUGAUCAGGUAGUUGAUACUCCAUGAUUGAGGUUGGUUGAACAACAGAAAAACCAAAUUGCUCAGGUGUAAAUCUUUCCCUUUGGAGCAUUGAUCCAGAAUCCCUACUUGAUUGUAAAUUUAACUAAAAGUAUGUUAACUCUGCAGCUCCAACAAAAAUCUGCAUAACUAGUGUUGGUUCAUAUUGAAUCAUUGAUUUUAAUAUUGUGGAAACUUUCCAUGUACAAAAUGACUUGCAACUUCUGGUACUCAAUAUAAUGAAUUUUUCCCGUCCUACGGUGAUUGAGCCCUGUGUGAUUGAGCCCUUAUCUUCGGGAACAGCCGGAAAUUGCACCUUUCAAUAUCUCACGUCGGUAUUACUUUCCUUUGUGGGUCAGUGAGCAAGGGGAUGUUUUUUUCUCUCGAACGUUUGUCCAAUUUUAUUUACAGUUUAGUGCUCCUGAGCCUUGGCUUCAUCAAAACAAGAGACUGGUCUUUCCGAGAUUUUUCCUAGUCGGACACUUUCUCCCCAUGCCCAUGCAUGUCCAUUGGAGACGCUUCUGAUUCUUAAAAGGUUACGAAGUUCCUGAUGGCAAAUCCGUUUUUGUUUUUCUCUUUCCUCGCAGUCGUGAUAUUCAUCGCCUGUUUACAGAUCGUCUGGUUACCCCAACCCUGGGUGAGAUUGAUGACUGGGGGAGGGUUAAAAUUCAUGCAUUCUUUCCUUUUGUCAAUUCAGGCCAUAUACCCAGACAUGGGUUCUGGGCCUUCGGGCUAUGAUGGAAUGUUUCUCUCUUCCCAUCCAGUCGGUUCAACAACAUUGCCUUCCAUUCCGUUUUAAACUUAGCCAAAUUGGAAGAUCCUCCGGGUCCAUAUACGUUCUUCACAAUGUUUUGGUUACCUUUUAGUCUAACGGUAAGAUGAUAUUUGGGUUUAUUUGUUCAUGGUCAAAUUCUUGCUCCAGGAAGUCGCUCGUCCGUUUUAGGAUUCCCCGUUUUCUCCCAGAAAAUUCAAGAACCUACGCAUUCGUGAAUUUUUCGUUGUAUUGCCUGAAUAAUGAUCGGAAUAACAAAUUAUUCGUAAUUAGAAACCUUUAUAGGGAAAGGGCAAGGGCAAUAAUUUUUUCCAUUGUUCAAAAAGGAACGUGCCAACUGGCAUUGGAUGUGAUCUUUGAUUCAGGGGAGAUAGCGACCUAUUUCAACGGAAUUGUUGAAGCGAUGAGGUGACUGGUUAUCUUUUGAAACCGCAAUCCUGCUUGGUCUUGCUGAGGCGUGUACUUCAUAGAAGAACAACUGUAUUACGAAGUGACAAUGUUAAAAAUGUUGACGAAUAUUUUCCUCUAUACGCGCCACCUCAUGACGAAGGUAAAGAAACAAUGAAUGUUGGAAUUGGGAUAGGCUUCGGAAGUCUUCCUAAUCGAAGGUAAUACAAUGCAAUGCAAAUUUAUUUUUUUGAAAAUCUUCUUCCUACACAAAGAACGAUGAAUAAUUCCGAGGCGAUUCGCGUUAUAUGCUAAGCGUUGGAUAUUUCGGUUCUUCGAUUGCUUCUUGAACAAAAAUGGAAAUUCAGCGGUUUUCGCAAUACAGCAAACGCGAAAA